rfam:Arabidopsis thaliana chromosome 3, complete sequence.
AGAUGCGAUCAUACCAGCACUAAUGCACCGGAUCCCAUCACACUCCGCAGUUAAGCGUGCUUGGGCGAGAGUAGUACUAGAUAGUGACCUCUAGGAAAGUCCUCGUGUUGCAUCCC